rnacentral:rRNA from 1 species
CCCUAGUAACGGCGAGUGAAGCGGCAACAGCUCAAAUUUGAAAUCUGGCUCCGGCCCGAGUUGUAAUUUGCAGAGGAAGCUUCUGGUGAUAUACCGUCUAAGUCCCCUGGAACGGGGUGCCACAGUGGGUGAGAGCCCCAUGUGACGGAUGUAGAUCCUGUGUGAAGCUCCUUCGACGAGUCGAGUAGUUUGGGAAUGCUGCUCAAAAUGGGAGGUAAAUUCCUUCUAAAGCUAAAUAUUGGCCAGAGACCGAUAGCGCACAAGUAGAGUGAUCGAAAGAUGAAAAGCACUUUGAAAAGAGGGUUAAACAGCACGUGAAAUUGUUGAAAGGGAAGCGCUUAUGACCAGACUUGCGCUGGGCUGAUCAUCCGGUGUUCUCACCGGUGCACUCGGCCCAGCUCAGGCCAGCAUCGGUUUUGGCGGGGGGAUAAAGGCGUAGGGAAUGUAGCUCCUCCGGGAGUGUUAUAGCCCAACGUGCAAUACCCCCGCUGGGACCGAGGUUCGCGCUCUGCAAGGAUGCUGGCGUAAUGGUCAUCAGCGACCCGUCUUGAAACACGGACCAAGGAGUCAAGGUUUUGCGCGAGUGUUUGGGUGUCAAACCCGCACGCGUAAUGAAAGUGAACGUAGGUGAGAGCUUCGGCGCAUCAUCGACCGAUCCUGAUGUAUUCGGAUGGAUUUGAGUAGGAGCGUUAAGCCUUGGACCCGAAAGAUGGUGAACUAUGCUUGGAUAGGGUGAAGCCAGAGGAAACUCUGGUGGAGGCUCGCAGCGGUUCUGACGUGCAAAUCGAUCGUCAAAUCUGAGCAUGGGGGCGAAAGACUAAUCGAACCAUCUAGUAGCUGGUUACCGCCGAAGUU